AGGAGGCGUGGUCACCAGAACUGGAGAGAGGAGCAGAUUGCUUGACAGCGGCUAAGAUUUUUGGUAGAAGAAUACAGUUAAUCUAAACCACUUGGCAGAUUUAACCCAACCUUAAACUGAAAAACAAAGAACUGUUACUGCAGUCCAUAUGGAAUAAUAUGUGGAUUCGAGACCAUGAGGAUAGUGGGUCUGUACAUUUGGGGACCCCAGGUCCAUCCAGUGGGGGCCUGGCCUCCCAGAGUGGGGACAACUCCAGUGACCAAGGAGACGGGCUGGACACCAGCGUGGCCUCUCCCAGUUCUGGUGGAGAAGAUGAGGACUUGGACCAGGAGCGACGGCGAAACAAGAAGAGGGGGAUCUUCCCCAAGGUGGCCACCAACAUCAUGCGAGCCUGGUUGUUCCAGCACCUCUCGCACCCGUACCCCUCGGAGGAGCAGAAGAAACAGCUGGCGCAGGACACGGGGCUCACCAUCUUGCAAGUCAACAACUGGUUCAUUAACGCCCGGAGACGCAUCGUGCAACCUAUGAUCGAUCAAUCCAACCGCACAGGGCAGGGUGCAGCCUUCAGCCCGGAGGGCCAGCCCAUCGGGGGCUAUACCGAGACGCAGCCACACGUGGCCGUCCGGCCUCCGGACCCAGCCUCCGGCUGUGACCCCCAGCGUUACACCUGCCUCUGGUUCCCGCCUGGUCCUCCAGCUUCAGGACCCCACCUCCAAAGGCCCCUCUGCUCAACGCCUACCUCCCUAGGGCCCUGCUGGGACAUGGGGGCCUGAGUGCCCAUCCAAGGGCUCUCAAGGACACCGGCAAGGCCUCCAGGCCCUGAGCCCCACUUCUGCCUUCACCUCUGCCUGGGACCCGAGCUGGGCUCCUGGGCCUUGGUCCCCAGAAGAUGGCGGCUAGGGCCUCGCCGCCAGGACAGAGAAGGGACGGGGUGGCUGGGCAGUCAGGGAAGGAGGGUCGCCCGGAUCCGACAUUUUGGAGAGAUUCCUUCACCCUCCUGUCCCCCCUACCUCCCUUCUCUAAUUGCUUCUUUUUUUUAAUGAUAAAGUCUUAAAAACA
rnacentral:sRNA from 1 species